rnacentral:misc_RNA from 1 species
UGAUGAGACUGAGGAAAUAUUCUACAAUCUUCACCGUGGUUACCGUUGAAUAGGGAUUCUCACAUAGCAAUUGCUGUACAGUGUAAUGCCAGCAUGUAUGUUUUUCUAAGCAAGCGACAGUGUGUCAAGGCAGAAGCUGUGCAUCUGGACAGGAUGAGAGUGGUUGUUUUCCAAUGGCUGUAAGCAUGAAAUCACCUGUCCUUGUGCGGAAGACAUCUAUGAAUCGAUCAACCAGAUGUAUACCUCUAAACACAACAGUCGAGCAACAUUAUACAUUGAAGAGAACAGCAAGUUUAUUGAUGUUGUAUUCCCAGUACCACCAUUGGUUGUCUCCUUACGGGAUCUUGAUAGAGUGGACAGGGCUAUGAAUAUGAAACCUAUCAAUGGCUACCCUCUAAUACGUGUCUCUCCCAAAGCAUCCCAAAUACCAAGAGGUGAAGCAGAAGUGUUUAGAAAUUGACGACACAUUGACGAAGUUCAGAUGGCGAGUUGGCCCGCCCAAAGAUGCUUGUGGCGUAGCAGGAAAUAUGAGAGAUCUUGACACCAAUACGGCUUUCACAUCUACUCUAGCUAUCACUCUUGACAGUAUAUAUUUUACUAGAGGUCUGCAUCUUGUAAGAUAUCAGAAGCCAUCUGACUGGGCCACAUCGUUUGGAAGUCCGAAAUACCAGAAAAAAUCGGCAUCUGCUACCUUAAGACAUCUGUCAAUUUUUGUCUGCAUCUUGUAAGAUAUCAGAAGCCGUCUGACUGGGCCACAUCGCUCGGAAGUCCCAAAUACUAGAAAAAACCGGCAUCUGCUACCUGAGCAUGCUCAGUUCCUAGAGGAUUAUGGGAAAUCACCAUGGAGAUACACCAUGCAUACCCUAGAUGCCAUCUUGGAUCAGUUCAUAUGUAAAAAAUGGGGAUCACUGCUUGUUCCAGGAUUUGACAUUUUUCAGCAGGUAAAUGAACAUU